CUGUAGGCUUAUGUGGUGAAAUAAACCAUUUAUUUCAAAACUAAACUUUGAAGUUUGAAAAUAAAAGAUAGAGUUAUGGCCCAGUACGCAAAGGGCUAUUCCAAACUGGAGGGCUCAUCUGAAUUUCAAAUGGUGAGUCACACCCUAAUACAGCUUUCCAGAUGGCUUAGUGGUAAAGAAUCCACCUGCCAAUGCAGGAGAUGCAAGAGACGUGGUUCAAUCCCUAGAAUGGGAAGAUCUCCUGGAGGAGGAAAUGGAAAUCCACUACAGCAUUGUUGCCGGGGAAACCCCAUGGACAGAGGAGCCUGGCAGGCUACAGUCCAUGGGAUCACAGGGAGCUGGACACAACACCCUAACAGGUCCAUCCUGAGAGCAUGGACUAUUGCAGAGGCAGAUGGAAGGAGGCAGCACCACCAGAUACCAGAGGGGCCUGAGCUGGGGGCGGACUCUUUACCAUCUGAGCCACCAGGGAAGCCCCAGAAACAUCAACAGAAGGUAGCAAAUGGUGAGCUCCCUAGAUACACUAAUGUUGGUACUGAAACCCCCUCCAGGUGGGAGAAGUUAAUGAUUAAUGAUGGUAUGCUGCCAACAAACCUGUAGACCCCAGACCAGUUAGACCUGAAGGUUGACGAUGCUGACUCCUGCUUACCUGACCACCAACCUAUCAGAAGAAUGUCCACAAACAGAUCAUACCCUCUUUGAGCAGUUACUAUAAAACUUCUCACUCCCUUCCCCAAGCUGGGACACAUGGUUGAGGGCAUUAGCCUACUUUGGCCCCUUUUGCUUGGCAAGGUGAUAAAGCCCAAAACUACUUCACCCAAAACUUGGUUUCAGAGAUUCGAUUUGGCACUGGUGUGCAGAGAAGCUGAGCUUUGGGCCUCGUAAUGCCUGACUGCCUUCAGGCUGACUUUGAUUAUUCUUAAGGCUUUAGGCAUUGAAUUAUUUUCAUGGCUGCUUACCAUUAAUUGUAGGAGGAAUCUACAACCCUACUCCAGAAUCCUUUCUCUGACAGCAAAAGUGUUUGAUUUUUCUACAGACAGUUAAGUUUUAUGUAAAAUAAAUGGUCAAAAA
ensembl:lncRNA